AAAUAAUCGAGAUAUUGAUGGAAGAGAAGGAGCCUUCUCUUCUUCUUCUUCUUCUUCUUUGCCGGAACUUUUUUGUUUUUCUUCUUCCGAUUCUGUUUCUUUUUCACCUCUUUCUGGGAUGGUACUAGAAGAAGAAGACAAAGCAGAAAGAAGAAAAG
rnacentral:ribozyme from 13 species